GACGAACCGUGCGAACGUUAUUCGGAAUCACUGGGCUUAAAGGGUGCGUAGGCGGACUGAUAAGUCAGCGGUGAAAUCCCACGGCUCAACUGUGGAACUGCCGUUGAUACUGUUAGUCUUGAAUGCAGAUGAUGUGGGCGGAAUAUGACAUGUAGUGGUGAAAUACUUAGAUAUGUCAUAGAACACCGAUUGCGAAGGCAGCUCACAAAACUGUGAUUGACGCUGAGGCACGAAAGCGUGGGGAUCAAACAGG
rnacentral:rRNA from 1 species